GCUAAUGAUAAUUCCAACAAAGGUUGGCAUGUAGUGAGGAAGACUCAACCUCGUGAUUCCUAUGAGAUUGUGAAACAAAUGGAUGAUGAUAUUGUAGACUUAGGAAAUCCUUCUCAAAAGAAACGAAAAAGAACUGAUGAGGUUCAUUAUGAAACCAUUAAAGACUGAAAAUGAAGUGGGAUCAAGUAUGAAGACUACUACCAGAUAUGCAUUCGUCGCGCCAGGUGCUAUAGGAAAGGGACGAGGACGAGGAGGGCUUAGAUCUUUGAUUGGGAAAGAGAAUAUGUCAACUAAGAGUUUAUUUCCUCAAUCUAGUGAUAUAGUUAAGCAAUACAUCCAAGAAAUUGAAACAAGUAAGAAUUUUUGUUAAUCUACUGUUUUAAAUUGGCGUAACUGAAUUUCAAUGCUUAAGUAUUAGUAAUAUGAUUUUUCUUCCU